AUCACGGAAACAUCUCUUUCAGCUGUUUUAGCUAAGUUGACAAAAGAAUGUCGGAGAAGUUUUACAUCUCAGGUGCUUUCUGCCCUUGAAGAUCGUGAGAAAAGGGAAAUGGAAGCAAUUGAGAGAGAUCUUCAUGCAGCAGAUGAUGCCUCAGUAUCUUUACCUGGUAGGCAAAGUGGGGACAAGGAAUGGCGCAUCUCGAGAUCAGAGAUUGGUCCGGAUGACAAUGGCUCUUUUAGUAGCUCUUCUUGCCCAGUUCGUGUUUGCUUUGAUGAGCAUGUAACGAAAAUCUAUGAUGCAUUUUCUCCUAUCCUCUCUCUCUUAGCAGACAACUCUGUUGCUAAGCUUAGAGCUCUCGAAGUUUUUGAGACUUUUAGGGAACUUUUAGAAAAGAUGAGGAAAUCACCCUUCAAAACAAGGAGAGUGUCACUUGAUUCAGCUUCAAUUGGGACACCACCAUUUGUGCAUCAGUUGCUUCCUUCCUUCAGCGAGUUACUUAAUGCACUCUCUCUGAAGUGUGAACACGUGGACGGGAAAAUUGACAUAUCUCUGGCUGGUGACCCUGUAAAAACCUCGCUAGCAUUACCUGUAGUUCUGGAUGCUUUGGAUGACGUGAUCCAUAACCUUAGACAGAGUGAUCAUUUCGGUAGUGAUGUUCUGUCCUUUCCACUGUUGAAAUCUAAUAGAAUCCACUCUGGUUCGGUUCUUGCAAGUGGUGAGGAACUUCCUCUUGGAAUUGUAAGUAGUGUUUUGCUCUUUGACCUUGUAAGCUCCCUUCACAGUUCUACUCGUCGUACCUCAAUGUUAUAUUCUGAUGACUUUCAGGCCACAGCAGCAUUUGAUGGUACUCGUGAGACCAAAUGGGAGGAACCAAAUGGGGGUCGAGGUAAAAUGACCUUAUCUAUGAGAGUUGUAGGAUUUUUUUUUCAUUUGGCACUCUGAUGAAGAGAUCAUGGUGAAAGCAUGAUGGAUCACCAACGAAUUUUGUAUGGUUGCUGUAUCCUGUGUAUGUUCUUCCCAACCGUUAGUUUGUGUUUUCAUUUGUUAGUUACUGAAAUUAGUGUUGCAGGUUGUUGGAUCAUGUAUAAAGUACCGGAUGGCCAGAUGAGAGAGCUUGUGGCUUACGAGUUGAUGUCUGCCAAUGACGUUCCAGAAAGAGAUCCUAUGAAUUGGUGCGCUUCCUUCUGCAUAGUCCUCUGUUGGCGUGUGGAUUCUAUUGUUCAUGUUGUUUACCUAACUUUAAAAGUAUACUUCUGUUAUUGCUAAAACCAUGCGUGAUGUUCAUAAACCGUUUAGUCAACAAAAUUCAUCUGGUUUUCGUGAUUCCCUAGCAGUCUGAUUGCAUAUCAUAUUCCUAUGAGCUUAAGAUGCAUCAAGGAAUGUAUCGAUCUUGUUUCGGUCAUUGAUCAUCAGACCAUUGAAUCAUAUGUUCAGAGAUAGUCAAUUCCUUAUUCCUUCUGGCAUUGAUGCCCUAAAUAUAGGUUAGAAGAAUCACAUUUAAACGAAUUGCUACAUUUCGGUCACUUCUCAGGGUCCUGGAGGGAAGCAGCGAUGGCGGAUCCAGCUGGCAUAUAUUGGAUGAACAGACUUCCCAGCUGUUUAACAACCGUUUCGAGCGCAGGACUUUCAAAAUUAAAACGAAAGUGCCCCCAUCCAAUGCUUUCAGGUACAGUGUCAACCCAAGAUUUUUUUUUUCCCCAUAGUUUGAAAGUUAGAUCUGAUCAAUCGUUCACUUGAGGUUACAUAUCGCAGGUUUAGGUUUCUCGCAGUUCGAGAUGUUCAAUCAAACUCGCGGCUGCAGUUAGGAAGCAUCGACCUUUAUGCAAGCUGCAACUGACGCACCCAAACCCAAGCCAACCGGGGCGGUUUCAAUAUAUUGCAGUAGCCAACCCGCGUCGGAACAAAUGAGAGAGAUAAAAGUAAAAUUGUCAUAAUUCUAAAAGCUCAAACUAUUCCUGAAGAGAAAUGGUGCCUGCAUUGUUCCAUUCCCUUCCCCUCCCCAGAGACUGCUACAUGUAUCGCCUGAUAGGACAGGACCAGGCAUUGAACUGCUACGUAUUCUGAAUUUGACUCUUUGGUACGUUGUUAGUUGCCUAUUGCCAGACGUGGAUUGGAAAAGGAAUUAGCGAAGAAAUUCAGCUGAGUCAAAAGCUCAUUUGCAAUCUUGAACCACAGUUGCUACUGAUCGUAACACUUUGAACAGCUCGAGCCUGCCGACUUUGGAUCUACUCGUCGUCGAGCCAUUGAUUUAAUAACAAAGAAAGGAUGGAAAAAUCAACAUUCCCUCAUUGUUUAAUGAUUCUUUCCACGCAAAAUCAUUUGUCCAAAUCAGAUGUUUAUGCAGCAGAAGCAGCUACCGAAACGACACUCUCUCACCUAACCUUAAUCGCACCAAAAACCUUAAAUUUCUCAAAUUUCUCAGACAGACAAAUCUAAGUACAGAACAAACCAACUCUAACCGCCCACCAUCCUCCGUUCCCCCUGAAAAUGGCCUCUGCUGCUGCCGCCUCCUCCGUAUCUUCCUUCUCUGCCACUUCCUGCCAUGGUGGCCGUCUCACCCUGCAUGCCCCCGGCACCCUCGACCUGUGCGCCCCUUCCUCAACUCCAAAGCCCCUCUCCAUCAGAGCCCUCUCUGCCCCAUCCCCAUCCCCAUCCCCCGCCCUCACCCCGGACGACCUCAAGAAAAUCGCGGCCAACAAUGUGUACUUUGGAGCUGCUCUUUGUUCUCCUAGCCAUCACAGGACUUGCGGUCGAGCCUUCCUUCUCAUGUUCUAAUGCUGUUUGUAAUGCUUGCGAGACCUCGUCAAUGCACUUAAUUCAUUGGCUUUGCGACUGAUCAAACUGUUAAUGCCACGCUACGAGGUCUUUGUCAAGUCAAGACUUUAUUCCAAUUCAACCAAGAGAAACUUUCAUUCUUUACUUCAAGCAGAAGGAGCCACUUUAUGAAAAUUAAAUGCAAAGAACCGAUGCUUUAUCCAUUUCCAGGGACAUCAAAACAGACGCGGACAGAUUACUUCUUUCCCAUGUAUUCUGACAAGCAUAAAGUUAAAUCUGAGCGGCAAACGACAAUAGCUGUUUCCUAAGACAAAAUACCGUAUAAGCAAUUCUCUGUCUCCUUUCCUUUUCCUUAGCAGAACCAAUGACUAACCAUGAGACUUGAAAAGAGUGGCCAAAGGAAAUGAUGCAAGGGACAGGAGCAGAAAACACGGUCGUUUGUAGGUUUGGCCUGCUCAAUUCUCAUGCACCAACCCCAUUCUUCUGACCCACUGGCUUCUCCUCAUUUGCAUCUUCUGUCCCAGCAACACAAUUUGAAGUGAACCUCAUGAGCUUUUACGUGAUGGAAGCCAUCCAAUGCUUCACUCAAGCCCUUGGGAAGCUACUGAGGAGGGUAAGAGCUUUUGAGCCACAUAAGCUCAUUUCAAAUGAGCACUUAUUCAUCUUCUGCAUCUUCUUCUGUGAACACAAUUCAAUACCAACAAAGCCAAUCCUCACGAAUUAACUUGCGAAAAGCAAAGAACCCAUGAUUCAUCACAGCCAAUCUCGUAGUAUUUGAUAUGCCCAUUUCUCUAUCGCGAAGAUCAUAAAUAUCUCUUUUUUUUUCGAAUAAAUUAAUUGAAAUUUAAUCAUUAGAUGAAAAGAGAAAGGAAUGAAAUGUCAAUUUUACUUUCCUUUUUUUUGUUUCGGGCUUCCAGUGUUCAUGCUUCAAGUGUUCAUGUGCUGUGGAGUGAGGAGGACCUGGGGGCGCUCUCAGGUCAAUGUCAAGUCAACCGUUGUCUUGAACCCAAACGCAUUCCACGAACUCGUUUUUGGUCAUUCAUCAUCAGCAUCAUCAUUAUCAUCCAUUCUGCGAUACCUUCCUGUACGGAGAUCUGAGCUCAGAGAGAGAGAGAGAUGGUGGCGCGGAGGUUCCAGGUCCGCCACGACGGCUCCGACUACGAAGUCGACUACGACACCGACGACGGCCUCGAAGUCUCUCUCUCUCUUUCUCUCUCUCUCUCUCUCUCUCUCAUUCUUGCUGCAGCUAAGGCCUUCGCCUCUCCGUUUUUGCAGGUGUUCAGAUACCAGCUCUUCUCCCUCACUGCGAUCCCUCCCGACGAGCAAAGGGUUCAUCUCUCUCUCUCUCGCCGAAUCGUCCCGAAAAAUCGUUGCUUUUUUAGCUGGGUCAGUGCAUUGGGUUAGGGAAUUGAGGUGCGAUCGCGGCUGAUCAUUCGGUUUUGUUUCUUCUUCUUUUUUGCUGUUGUUGCCUUCGUCAGAUCGUCGCGGACGGUGACGAUCGGGUCGUCUCCGAGGACUCCGAUCUCGCCGCGGUAGCCGGCAAGCUCCGGCUCGUGUCGAUCGAUGAGGAAGGGGAGAGGGCGGCGGACCAGCGCGCCGGCGGCAGCAGCAGCGCCGAAUUGCUCAAGUCGGAUGAGGAGCUGGCUCGAUUGCUGCAGGUAGGAUUCGAUAUUUGUUGGAUCGCGGGCAUCACCUGAAGUUUGCUGAAAAUUGGCGCGGGCGACUUGUGCUUUUCGUUUGAGAAAUUUAUCCGCCGCUCCAAUUUUAAUAUUCUUAUCAGAUAGUUGUGAAGUUUCAAUUUUCUUUCGUUCUUUUAGGCGGAAGAGGAAGCACUGCUGUUGCAGCAGUUUGUCGUGCACGAUAAUAGUGCUCACAUGGAGAAAAGAUUGAGGCCUUACAUUGCUCAAGUUCGCGGGGUAAUAAUAUUCUCUGUCUGUACUUCUUUUUCUCUCGUCCGUAUCGGUGAGAACGAUAUUAGCCGCUUGACUGAAUCAAUGCUGUGAAAUUUAGUAUGAGGAUCCUAGAGCCCAAGAGGCUGCUCGGAAGACUGUACCUGUAGACGAGCUUGAGGAGAAGGCAUUGUUAUCUCUGGCCAAGGUGAGAGGGGUAGUGUGGUUUUGCUUUGACCUCAUGUUACCUUUGAGAACCUGCAGUGUAAUUUUGCUUACCGUCAAGGACCAAUUUGCUGAUGUUUUCUCUUGCAAACAAUGAGCAUUUUUGUUGCUUUGGCCAUUCAUGAGUGUAAAUUAACAUAUGGUCAGGUGGGGAACUUCAAACCAUCCAAAAGUGAACAGGAUCAUGCUUUCUUAAUACAGCUGCUUUACUGGUUCAAGCGUUCAUUCAGGUGCUUUUAAUGGUUGUCCAUUGCAUUUUUCUGCUUAGUUCUUCUAAAUUCUAGAUAGUGUAUAUCUUCUGCAGUGAUUGCUGAUAUGCGACCGCAGCUGAAGAGUUUUUUCAUCAUUUCAUGCUUACAUCACCUAUUUUUAUUAUAGUGCAACAGUUUUUUGAAGUAUUCCUACUACUGGGCUUUUCAUAUUCAUCUGCUUCGUGGGUAGAUAACUUCUUCCAGCUAUUCAUUUAACAUACAGGGAAGUGCUCAUGAUACAUAUAUGGAUAGAGUUCAUGGUAGAAGUCUUGUUUUUUCAUGGGUUUUAAUUUAGGACCUCAUAGUCAUCUUGAUCAGCACUGAGGAUCUAGAUGUCAUUAUUGGAUGCUUAAGUGGAAGCAGUCCUCUCGGAAAAAUCAGACAUCAUACUCUAAAUGUCACCCGUGUUGCACUAUGAAAAUCCCAGUUAUAUUAACCAGAGCAUGCUUUGCACCUUUGUUUGAUAUGAGGUUUAAAUUCUGAUUCAGGACUGCAGGAUGGCAACUUUGCUUUUUACACUUGCCGUGCUUAAGCAAAUAGUUGUUUAGUGAUCUUUAUAGGAGCAUGAUGGGCGGACAUGACGGUUGAAAAGGGAAAGUUUUAUCAUUUAAGGCACUAUAUGUCAGAGUUAGGAAUAAUCAUCUUAAGACAGGUAGAAAAAUUGGAGGCUGAAAAAAUAAGAGGGGGAAAUAAUGACAUCGUUUACUAUGUAAAUCUUUUGAAUACUUACCUUUAUAACAUGGUUCAUAAUGAUGAAAGGUGCAAAAGAGGAAUUUCGUGUUCCUUAAAGUACCAUGAAUAAAUUACUAACCUGUGUCCUUAUAUCCUUGUUGCCUGUACAAAUUUAAUAUCUAAACUGGAAUAUAAGAGGGGUCUGAACUCAUCUAUUUUUGCAGCUGGGUUAAUGCUCCUCCUUGCGAAGGAUGUGGUGGUGAAACUGUAGGUCAAGGCAUGGGCAGGCCGCUUCCUUCCGAACUUCUUCAUGGCGGUUCUCGCGUUGAAAUUUACUGGUAGGAAAAGAUUACUAUCUUAUUCCCAUCUAAUUAGCUCCCAUUCCCCUAAAAAAAAAAUUAAGAAGAAAAACCUUCCCUGUUUAAUUUCAUCAUGCAGCCAACUCUGGAUUUUAUUCAAAAUUUAGACUUGUGCUUUCCUGAAAUACGCUGUUCUCUUGGCAACCUUAUGUACAUAUUAUAUGGCUGGGGAAUUAGUUCAUCUGCAUUUUUAUAGUAACUCAUAGAGGAGUACAUAUUCUCCAGGGGAAAUAAGCAAAAGCAUUCUCUAAGUAACAAGAGGUUAUUGCUAUUUAAGAAGCAGAUAUUUGUUUAGGAGGAGAAGGAAAAGAAUAAUAUCAUGGUUGAAGAUUAUCUGCUGGAGCAUAUACCAUAAGAAUAUCACAUCUAUCUUAACUUCUGUACGGCACUCACGUGCAUGUCAUAACUUCUAAAAGACGUAAACUUGAGUGCCAUAACUUCUAUUCAAUCACUAAAUGCAAUGAGUUCUUUAAAAAAAAAAAAUGUUCGAGUGCCAUAGCUUUUUAAAAAACUUUUACUCCAUGUACCGAAAAUCUGUCGUGGCAUGGUACUUGUAAUGAAUGUUUUUUAAAAGUUGUGACACUCAAGUAAUCAUUUUUAGAAUUCGUGGCACUUAAGUGAACGUCUUUUGAGAAAUCAUGGCACUUAAGUGACCCAAAAAAAAAAAAAUUUAUGGCACUUAAGUGAGUGUCGUAUGAAAGGUAUGACACCUGUUGUGUCCUUAUCUAGUUUUCAAAACUUGGAAGUUUUUAACAUAAAAAAAUUGACUCAUGCAAAAUCCUAGGAACUAGGAAGGCAAAAAAAUAUGUUGGACUUGGAGUACAUCAAAGUUUGAAUGUCAAACCCCAUAUUCAGGAAUAACCAUUGGCAUAGUGUGAUGGCCUGCUAGCAUUUUGAAUAUUGGAGAAGUGCUUAUCCAGUCCGCUACCUUCUUAUAAGCACAUUUCCUUCAGGAAAAGAAAAGGAAAGAACCAAAAAAAAAAAAUUGUAAGAUUUGAAUUCAAGAUGUUUGUUUGUAGCUAUCUGGAUAACAAAAGUAAUUAAAGCAAAUUAACUUGGUGAAUAUAUUAGUUGUUAUGCUUGGCUUUAUGGUUCCCUUUGCUAAACUGGCCUUUCUUAUUCUUUUCACUGUCUUUUGCCAAUUCUAGCUGCACACGCUGCUCAAGGAUCACACGCUUUCCGAGAUACAACGAUCCAGUGAAGGUAUUUUGGUUUUGUAACCUCAACAGAAAUUAGUUCUUUGGCGUCCUCCCUUUUCCCAUGAGAGAAUAUUGUACUCUACAGACAACUAAUUUUUUGCCUCUUUUUCUAUUGGAAGCUCUUAGAGACAAGAAGAGGCCGUUGUGGGGAGUGGGCAAACUGCUUUACAUUAUACUGUCGUGCUUUGGGUUAUGAAACCCGUCUGGUUAGUUCUUUUUUUUUUUUUUUUUUUUUUUUUUGCCUUAAUCCUUCAGGCUUCAUGAUACGGUGGGUCUAAACUUUGCAAUUUCUUCUUUAUUUCCAAAUAAGAAAUUAAUCUGCCAAAAUGUAUACUUAGUCUUCAAAUAUAUAGGAUUGAUUGCAUGUUAUGUUAUUUGGUGCAGCAAAUGUACUUGGUAUGGGUCUCGUGAUAAAUUUGAAUAGAAAAAAUUGGUUUGAGUAUGAAUUUACGUGAAUUAAACCUUAAGUUGUUUGCUUUGCCAUUACAUGCUCUGGGUGGAUCAUCUACAAGAUAAUAUUAUGUUAAGGCACACUUUGUUGUGUUUUGUAUCAGCCAAUUAGCCUCAAUAUGAACUUGCACGAAUUAAAGCUUAGAUCACUUAUUUUGCCAUUUCAUAUUUGUGGUCGCGUCACUAUCUCCGAAAUGAUAAUGUGUCAAGGCACUCUUUCUUCUAUUAUGUAUUGUGUCAUAUGAGGUCUUAAUGGCUCUUCCCCCUCCACUGUCUCUUGUUCUUGUGUAGGUUUUAGAUCUCAAUGAUCAUGUGUGGACAGAGUGCUUUUCGGUACAUCUGGGAAGGUAGAAACAUCAUUAAUAUUCUGCAACUCGUUCACACUCUCUGUGAAGUAUGAUUUUUAAUCAACAAUCACAAGUAUUUCCUAUUGUGCAUGAUUGUGCAGAUGGAUGCAUCUUGAUCCUUGUGAAGGAGUUUAUGACGAACCUUUGUUAUAUGAAAAGGGGUAACGCAGUUUGAUUCCCCUUUGAUUGUGACUUAUUCUAAAAUGUUUGAGAGAACUACUUUUGCUUUCCAAUAUUGAGAGAACUACUUUUGCUUUCCAUUCUUAAUAUGCUAGGUGGAAUAAGCAAAUGAAUUAUGCAUUUGGGAUAGCAAAAGACGGAAUCUAUGAUGUCACAAAACGCUACACAAGGAAGUGGCAUGAGGUAAUUUAUCUUUUCAGCAGCAUAUGGUCCUAACUGGGAGUUUCACCAACAUCCACAGUAGAUUUUGUUUUUCUGCUUGUAGAUUUUCACCAACAUAAGAUUUAUACUUAUAUGUUGUGUUAUGGUAUGGAAAGACAGAUUCUCGAAGUAACCUUUAAAUAAUAGCACAUCACCUGAAAAUAGAUGGGUCGUUGAUAUUUAUUUUGCAAGUAACUUGUCAUGACCCUUGAGGGGGUAACUUGAGUUGAGUAAUUGAGAGAAUCCGAUAGAUUGUGCCAAAUUAUUUCUUUCUUGGUUUAACAUGCAGGUUUUAACACGGCGAAACUUGAUCACGGAAACAUCUCUUUCAGCUGUUUUAGCUAAGUUGACAAAAGAAUGUCGGAGAAGUUUUACAUCUCAGGUGCUUUCUGCCCUUGAAGAUCGUGAGAAAAGGGAAAUGGAAGCAAUGAGAGAGAUCUCAUGCAGCAGGCGAUGCCUCGGUAUCUUUACUGGUAGGCAAAGUGGGGACAAGGAAUGGCGCAUCUCGAGAUCAGAGAUUGGUCCGGAUGACAAUGGCUCUUUGAGUUGCUCUUCUUGCCCAGUUCGUGUUUGCUUUGAUGAGCAUGUAACAAAAAUCUAUGAUGCAUUUUCUCCUAUCCUCUCUCUCUUAGCAGACAACUCUGUUGCUAAGCUUAGAGCUCUCAAAGUUUUUGAGACUUUUAGGGAACUUUUAGAAAAGACGAGGAAAUCACCCUUCAAAACAAG
rnacentral:lncRNA from 1 species